GCCAGGACAGGGUCUAUGAGCAGACUUGGAGCCCUGCCCCCAGCUGGGGGCGUAGAGGCCCAUGUCAGAAGGGGGUGGGGGGUCAAGCCCUAGAAUGGGCAGCGUGGGGGCAAGGAGCAGGCAUGCUCUGCGGGCCAGGUGCUUUCUUUCUAAAGUAGACUCAGUCUUCUGACCUCUUUUCUCUCUCUCUCUCUCUCUCUCUCUCUCUCUCUCUCUCUCUCUCUCUCUAAUUAGUGCCAAUUGUGGGCUCCUUUUUAGCCUUUCCUUUUCUGAACUUCCAACUGGCUUCUUUUUUCCUUCCCCAGGGA
rnacentral:sRNA from 1 species